rnacentral:lncRNA from 1 species
GCGGCCGCCAGGAUGUGCCCCUGGCCCCGUCGUCGCCGCGCCCGCGCCCCUCGCCCCAGUGCGGACGUGGGGAGGAUCUUCUAAGUGCCUCCAACGAAGGCAAGUGUGAGACUCUGGCCCUUUAUUUGUAAGAAGCAAGCCUUCAGAUUGCAGAAGUGUCCCCGCGGGUCGCCGUGCGUUGCGCGAGUGGGAAGAUGGAGGAGGCUGGCACGGUGCUUUCGUGGACGCAAGUGAACCGGGCGUGAAGGCAGGGUGCGAGCUCUGCCCUUGGCCCAGCCCUGCGUGGGCGCCGUCCCAGAUUCCAGGCGGUGCGGGGUGCAGAGAUCUGGAGAGAGUUGCGGGCUCCCCAGCGCAGGCUGCUCUGGGAUUUCGUUGGAAGAUCCGGCAGAGCCUU